AAUUUAAAUCUCAGCAGUGGUUUUACCUCGGGAGUGACAACAAAAGGGAAUAAAAUUUCAAUUUUGGCUUUUGAAGUUGCUAAUACAAUUGUUAAGGGUGCCAAUCUGAUGCAAUCCCUUUCAAAAGAAAAUAUUAAGCAUUUAAAAGAGGUUGUGCUUCCCUCAGAAGGGGUGCAAAAUUUAAUAUCAAGAGAUAUGGAAGAACUCUUGAGGAUUGCAGCUGCUGACAAGAGAGAAGAAUUGAAAGUUUUUUCUGGAGAAGUGGUACGUUUUGGAAAUCGUUGUAAAGAUCCUCAAUGGCACAACUUGGACCGUUA
rnacentral:misc_RNA from 1 species